AUACGUAGGUGGCAAGCGUUGUCCGGAAUUACUGGGUGUAAAGGGAGCGCAGGCGGGGGAUCAAGUCAGGCGUGAAAUUUAUGGGCUCAACCCAUAACGUGCGUUUGAAACUGGUUCUCUUGAGUGAAGUAGAGGUAGGCGGAAUUCCGAGUGUAGCGGUGAAAUGCGUAGAUAUUCGGAGGAACACCAGUGGCGAAGGCGGCCUACUGGGCUUUUACUGACGCUGAGGCUCGAAAGUGUGGGGAGCAAACAGGAUUAGAUACCCUGGUAGUCCACACUGUAAACGAUGAUUGCUAGGUGUGGGGGGUCUGACCCCUUCCGUGCCGGAGUUAACACAAUAAGCAAUCCACCUGGGGAGUACGGCCGCAAGGUUGAAACUUAAAGGAAUUGACGGGG
rnacentral:rRNA from 1 species